rnacentral:rRNA from 1 species
GAUGAACGCUAGCUACAGGCUUAACACAUGCAAGUCGAGGGGAAACGAUAGAGACAGCUUGCUUUUUCUAGGCGUCGACCGGCGCACGGGUGAGUAACGCGUAUCCAACCUGCCCACCACUUGGGGAUAACCUUGCGAAAGUAAGACUAAUACCCAAUGACGUCUAUAGAAGACAUCUGAAAUGGAUUAAAGAUUUAUCGGUGAUGGCUGGGGAUGCUGCUGAUUAGCUUGUUGGCAGGGUAACGGCCCACCAAGGCGACGAUCAGUAGGCGUUCUGAGAGGAAAGUCCCCCACAUUGGAACUGAGACACGGUCCAAACGCCUACGAGAUGCAGCCGUGAGGUAUAUUGGUCAAUGGGCGAGGUCCUGAACCAUCCAAGUAGCGUGCAGGAUGACGUCCCUAUGGGUUGUAAACUGCUUUUAUAAGGGAAUAAAGUGGGAGUCGUGACUCCUUUUGCAUGUACCUUAUGAAUAAGGACCGGCUAAUUCCGUGCCAGCAGCCGCAGUAAAAC